GCAGUGGUGGUUCAGUGGUAGAAUUCUUGCCUUCUGUGCGGGAGACCCGAGUUCAAUUCCCAGCCAGUGCC
rnacentral:tRNA from 1 species